AUUGUUUAAGCUAUUGAUGUUGAUUGCUUUUUCAUAUAUUGGAUACUUAGCUUUAUCUCCUGUUUUCCCCUUAUUACUUACAUGCUGUCACUUUACAAGUGCUUAUUUUCUAUAAUGGUGGUUUCUUCCUCCCCUUAUUACUUAUAAUCCGUCACUUUACAAGUGCUUAUUUUCUAUAAUGGGGGCUUCUAUAAUGAGGGUGCAAGGGGUCGCCUGCCUGUACCAGCGGUCCGCGUUCGCGAUCACGGACCGCGCUGCAUUUUUUCACGCUAGUGGCGGCCAUUUUGUAUUUCGUAAUACCGCACCAGUCCUAGUGACAAACUGAUAUAGGGGCGAACCCCUACACUGGGUAACCCCAAGCGAGUCUACCCCAAUCCUAAGUGGCAUACAUAUACAGGGGUGACCCCCCCUCCGCUGGAUGACCCCCAAGCGAGUCUGGCACCAGUCCUAAGUGGCAUGCAUAUACAGGGGUGACCCCCCCUAUGCUGGGUGACCCCCAAGCGAGUCUGGCAACAGUCCUAAAAGGCAUACAUACACAGGGGUGACCAUUCUACGCUUGGUGACCCCCAAGCAAGCAUGGUAUCAACCGUAGUGGCAUACAAUUACAGGGGUGACCCCCCUUACAGACGGGCUGACCCCCGCUCCCUGCUAGGGACUAACCACAGAGUACUCUCUACCACUGUAUGCGCAGAUCACAGGUCGCUAUAAGUUUAUGUAUUACGGCAUCUCCAUGCUACAGCUGGGUUCAUCCGUACACCUCCUUACCGAUGUUGGAAGGAGGUCUCACACUGUGGCCAAACCUCCACAGUACAAUGACAUAUAAGGGUGACACCCUUGGAUUGCAUACCAAGGCUUCUACGCCUCACAUGUGUCACAACUUUACUGACCGCUCAACCCGGUAUUAUUGAGGGUGACACCCUCCUUAGACCACUCCUCAGAAUAUACUAGUGGUACUGAUUGAUUAACAUCUGGGUGACCCCCAGUGUAAGUGGAGGCACAAUGGGUAACAACAAGAGUACUACGGUAUUGAACUGGUAUUCUGUUUUCCAGGACCGAAUGCCACACCCCUACUACGAGACAAGAAUGCCCUCACCCCAGAGUUCGAUACCACGGUGGUGAUAUUUAUGUCCCGAUCAGGCCAAGAACCACGCAAAGGCUUAGGAAACGGGCUUAAAGCAGUUCAAGACUAACUACUGGAUAUGAUUGACCUUGGCAGAAAUACUCUAAUUUGCAGACCUAGCCCUCGCCCAAGAAACACCGUUAAAGACUCAUGAUGUGAGGGAAUGGGUGCAACGGGCAAUAUGCACGUUGAGCAACACGAAUGUAGCCAGGUGCGUGGAAUGACGCAAAGCGGCCCUGCUAAAAGGGUUCCCAGGACGUCUGGGUCCUCCAAACAAUAAAGGGGUACGCGAUAGGAUUCACCAGUAUUCCGUGCAGGUCAACCGAUCACCCCACUGCGGGCACCGAAAGCCCACAUAUCGCUCACAGACAAGGUGAUUCGACCACUGUUCACCAAAGGAGCCGUAGGGUUCGCUCCAGACGAUCAGGGCUAUUUCAGCAAAUAUUUGGUGGUCAGACAGAAUAAGGGGGGCUAUCGUCCAGUCAUCUACUUACACCAACUCAAUGGCUUGAUUGUGUACCGAUAUUUCAAGAUGGAAGGUAUCCAUCUCCUACAGGAUCUAAUCCUUAACCACCACUGGUUCACACGGUUAGAUCUGAAGGAACGGUCAUGACACAGCUCGAGAGCAUGGGGUAUCUGCGGUCUCAUAUAUCUGGACGACUUGUGGUUUUCUUGCGAGUCCAGUUCCAGACUACAGUCACAAAUGAGGUUUGUAAUAAGAUUCCUGAAAUGGUUGGGUCUUCUUGGUGAACAGAGAGAAGUUGGCUUUGUCCCUGUCUCGAGUGAUUCAUUUCCUUGGAUUCGAAAUAUACUCCAACUCAUGCGUCUUACG